GGACGUUAGCUCGUUCGUAAUAUAUUAGUGACUGAAUUUCGAAUUCGGAUUGACUCAGUGUAAUAGACUGUUCACUGAGGACGCUGUUUCUAAUCGGAAAGAGUGGCCGAGUAAGACGACUAGUGGCUUCCAACCCUUUAGUUGAGUCAACUAUUUUUGAUUUAGACCUCAGAUCAGGCAGGAUUACCCGCUGAACUUAA
rnacentral:misc_RNA from 1 species